rnacentral:pre_miRNA from 1 species
AAUAAACCAAAUUUUUACUUUUUACCUAUAAUUUUUACUCUUCGUCUUAUUCAAUUUUUUUAUGAUUGAUAUUUUUGUUUUUAUUAGAUGAUAAAUCAUGAAUAAUACUUUACAUGUGACUAAUUUUUUCUAAUUUCCUGAAAAUUUUUCAAAUAUGACGGAUGGUCAAACGUUGGACACGGAAACUGUUGAAUUGAUU